GACGAACGCUGGCGGCGUGCCUAACACAUGCAAGUCGAACGGAGUGUUUAUUUAUAAACACUUAGUGGCGAACGGGUGAGUAACGCGUAGACAACCUACCCUCUAGAUGGGGACAACACCGCGAAAGUGGUGCUAAUACCGAAUGUUGUAAUGUUGUUGCAUAAUAAUAUUACUAAAGGUGGCCUCUAUAUAUAAGCUACCGCUAGAGGAUGGGUCUGCGUCUGAUUAGCUAGUUGGUGAGAUAACAGCUCACCAAGGCAAUGAUCAGUAGCCGGUCUGAGAGGAUGAACGGCCACACUGGGACUGAGACACGGCCCAGACUCCUACGGGAGGCAGCAGUGGGGAAUCUUCCGCAAUGGACGAAAGUCUGACGGAGCAACGCCGCGUGAGUGAAGAAGGUUUUCGGAUCGUAAAGCUCUGUCUUCAAGGACGAAUGUAGAUAUUGUGAAUAAUGAUAUUUAAUGACGGUACUUGAGGAGGAAGCCACGGCUAACUACGUGCCAGCCGCCGCCGUAA
rnacentral:rRNA from 1 species